GCAGACACAUUCCAGCCAAUCAGCAGCAGACCCUCCCUCCCAGACCCUCCCACCUCUUGGACAGCUCACUUAGAAUGCACCUUUAAAAUGGAUGCUGUCCAGGAGGUGGGAGGGUCUGGGAGGGAGGGUCUGCUGCUGAUUGGCUGGAAUGUGUCUG
rnacentral:miRNA from 1 species